GGAAGAGCUGUGUUUUAAUUGCAUUACUGCUCAACUGCUAACUGUUUUGAUAUGUUGAACAAAGUCCAUUGAUUCUUCAUGGAGGAGUGCUUGCCGGGAGUAUGAGUCAGCACAUCUGUGUUAUUAACUUGUUCGGAAGCUUUUUGUGGCAGAUUGACUUUAAAAGCCCCCAAGGAAACAGAGGAUUUUAUUUAAUAGAAAUAUUGUCAGAAUGACAUUGAGAUUUGGGUUUGGCUUUCAAAUCACUGGAUACAAGUUGAAUCAGGUCUUUUCUCUGACAGAUAUUAGAAACAUGGUGUGUUGGAGAAAUACUUUCCAUUACCCGGCAGGGGCCUUACCUUGGGAGAGGGGGAUGAUAUUUGCCUGGCGCACCCUGGUGACCCAACCUAGCUGGCCUGACUUUCUAAAGGCAAGGAUGUGGGCUUGGUAUAGAGAGGUGGUGAAACCUGAAUAUUAGUAUUUUCAAAUCUGAUUACUAGUAUUUUCAAUCGACAGGACUGGGCGCAAAUCCAUCCUCAUUUAAAUGCAGGUCUACCUGAAAUCAUGCCUCACUGCAACCAUGCACUCCUGGGCUUAAGCGAUCCUCCUGCCUCAGCCUCCCUGAAGGUCUACCUGCAUUUGAAUAAGGAUGGAUGUGCGCCCAGGUCAAAUUAGAACUGAAGAAGCAACUCAGAGGUAUAAUACUGUGCCCCAGCGACCAAAAGCAGCCCUGCUACUGACUUCCUGCUACUAUUCUGAGUUGAAAGUGCUGAAAAGAAAACUCCAGGCCAUGCGCAUUUAAUUUGAUUGUAAUCUUGCCAGAGAUCCACCUGCUUUGCUCCCAUCAGUUUCCCUUGGCCUGUCCUGUAGAAAGGGACUGCAAUUUAGCACUUUUUUACAUUAAACAAAUAACCUGCACUCUCCACAAAAUACAGGUCCAAAUGGCAAUAGCUUAUGGGUCAUCAGUUUCUCCUAGGAAACCUGGGCCACAAGUUUCUGGGUGGGUUUCAGACACACAGUAGGUGCUGAAUUAAUUAAAGGUGUUUCUUUAACUCAGCCCACAAGCAUCUGAUUUGCUUAGGAAAUUGAUUAGGUAUAUAUUACCCAGAUGAUGUCAAUUUCUAUGUAACCAUUUCCCUCUUGUGUAAUUGAUGAGCCUCCUAAUGUUGAUUUUAUUUUGUUUUACCAAGCACUGUAUUUAGUUAAUAAAAAAUACAGAAUAG